GUCUAAUAGUUUGAUGGCUCGUGU
rnacentral:siRNA from 1 species